GACGAACGCUGGCGGCGUGCUUAACACAUGCAAGUCGAGCGGUAAGGCCCUUUCGGGGGUACACGAGCGGCGAACGGGUGAGUAACACGUGGGUGACCUGCCCUCAGCUCUGGGAUAAGCCUGGGAAACCGGGUCUAAUACCGGAUAUGACUCCAUGACGCAUGUUGUGGGGUGGAAAGCCUUGUGCGGCUGAGGAUGGGCCCGCGGCCUAUCAGCUUGUUGGUGGGGUGAUGGCCUACCAAGGCGACGACGGGUAGCCGGCCUGAGAGGGCGACCGGCCACACUGGGACUGGAGACACGGCCCAGACUCCUACGGGAGGCAGCAGUGGGGAAUCUUGCGCAAUGGGCGAAAGCCUGACGCAGCGACGCCGCGUGAGGGAUGACGGCCU
rnacentral:rRNA from 1 species